UACGAAGGAGGCUAGCGUUGCUCGGAAUCACUGGGCGUAAAGCGCACGUAGGCGGCUUUCUAAGUCAGGGGUGAAAUCCUGGAGCUCAACUCCAGAACUGCCUUUGAUACUGGAGAGCUUGAGUCCGGGAGAGGUGAGUGGAACUCCGAGUGUAGAGGUGAAAUUCGUAGAUAUUCGGAAGAACACCAGUGGCGAAGGCGGCUCACUGGCCCGGUACUGACGCUGAUGUGCGAAAGCGUGGGGAGCAAACAGG
rnacentral:rRNA from 1 species